AUUGAACGCUGGCGGCAGGCCUAACACAUGCAAGUCGAGCGGAUGAAGGGAGCUUGCUCCUGGAUUCAGCGGCGGACGGGUGAGUAAUGCCUAGGAAUCUGCCUGGUAGUGGGGGAUAACGUCCGGAAACGGGCGCUAAUACCGCAUACGUCCUGAGGGAGAAAGUGGGGGAUCUUCGGAUCUCACGCUAUCAGAUGAGCCUAGGUCGGAUUAGCUAGUUGGUGGGGUAAAGGCCUACCAAGGCGACGAUCCGUAACUGGUCUGAGUGGAUGAUCAGUCACACUGGAACUGAGGCACGGUCCAGACUCCUACGGGGGGCAACAGUGGGGAAUAUUGGGCAAUGGGCGAAAGCCUGAUCCAGCCAUGCCGCGUGUGUGAAGAAGGUCUUCGGAUUGGAAAGCACUUUAAGUUGGGAGGAAGGACAGUAAGUUUAUACCUUGCUGUUUUGACGUUACCAACAGAAUAAGCACCGGCUAACUUCGUG
rnacentral:rRNA from 1 species